CUUUUAUUUUUAAACUUUUAUUUUCAAACUUUUAUUUUCAAACUUUUAUUUUUAAACUUUUAUUUUUAAACUUUUAUUUUUAAACUUUUAUUUUCAAACUUUUAUUUUCAAACUUUUAUUUUCAAACUUUUAUUUUUAAACUUUUAUUUUCAAACUUUUAUUUUCAAACUUUUAUUUUCAAACUUGAACAGGAAUAUAAAGUCUGGACAAGAGUAUUAGCGUAUAAAUAAAUAAAUAAAUAAGGGAGUACAUUUAUUAUGCUGAGGGGUGGGAGAGGGGGGUGAAGAUGUUAAGGGGGGCAUCGAAAUAUUCUCUGGCAAUCUGGCAUUAAACGGGGGGCUCGAUAUACUGACGGUGGGGGGGGGGGAGCUCUAAACUUUUCAAAGUUUUGGUCCAGCAGGGGUCUGGAGUGUUCACUCCCACAUAGUUAAUGGAAUAGAUGGUUUGAAAACUCCCCCUACUGUGAAAUUCAGGCAAAUAUAUGUAAAAUUCAAGUUAAAAUUUUGACAUUUUCAGGUAAAAUUUGCGUAAUAAAGUAAUUAUUUUUGUGAAAUGAUAACCAUUUUUGUAAAAUACAGUCAAUUUGCAUGAAAUUUGUUUGCGAAUUUGCUUUAAAACACGCCAGAAAUUCAGUCGUAGAAUGUAAACAUUUUCUGGGGGAGGACCCCCAGACCCCCUUUUUCUCCCGAAACUUAAUAUGAGAGUGCCAAUCAAUCACAAAAAGCUUUAUUAUUAUUAUUACAUGUAUAAUCCCCCAACAUCCCCCCCCCCCAAACGUCAGAUGCUUUGCUAGGUCCCUGAUGGUUGUAUUCGAAACCGAUUUCAGUUUCAAGAUAUCCUUAGUCUGCUCUUCUAUAAAUGGAUACAUGAAAUCACCUAUAGCUCACUUAAAUUUUUUUGGCACCAAUCUAAAAUGUUUUUUUUUAAAGGGUGCCAUUUAAUCUGGCGCUAGUGAGGUGAAAGAAGCAGUAGGUCGGUAUUUUAGUUGAGGAGAAGUACAUGCUUGAGUAUAUCAGACAUUUUGAGGAGCUGCAAAUUGUAUAUAUGAUGCCUACGAUAAGAGAGAAUUCCGGAUUGUACUGCUUCGAUUCCGAAUUCUGGAGGGGGGGCAUUGAAAAUUUUAGAAACUUGGAGGGGGGCAUCGGAAAUUUACCAAUAAUCUCAACAGGGGCCCUGUAAAAAUAUGAGCUUUUUUUCAAGACAUAUCCAUCUGCCCCCCCCCCCCUCGCCAUAAUAAAUGUAAUUUCCCUAAACAGUGAUCAUGUAUAUAUAUUGUAGUAUAAACUUGAUAUAUGUACAAUAAAGUAUUCUAAACCAGAAUGCGGUGCACCACACACGUCGAUUGGACAACUAGUAGCUUAAGAAAAGUUUUCCCGUAAUACCAUAACGCAAUGGCACGUUUUUGACCAAAUUUUUUUAAAAAAAACAUCGAAAUCUCUAAACAAGAAGGGCACCUUUGAUGUUAAUUUAGUAUUUACAGAGACAUUAGCUUGUACAAAAAGGGCACUUUUCAUCACAAAAAGGGACACUUUUCGUCCUUUGAAACAAUUUGGGAGGGAGGGCACGCGCUCCCUCUGCCCCCCUCUUCCUACGCCCCUGAUUCUAAGACCACUUGAUCCCGAGAUUGAAGGCUUUAUGUAGAUGAACAUUUCGAGUGGAAGAUUCAUAUAUAUUUAAUUUAGACCUAUAACCAGCUGCGGAAAAUAGAACUAUAGCAGGAAUCGAACCUACGGCCCCGCAAUUCCGUUGCAGUGCUCUAACCAACUGAGUUAUAGAGUUCAGUUGUCGAGCUCCAACCACAAGUUCUUGUUUAUAUAACAGUAUAUAUAUAGUACAGGUGAUGCCAUUAUAUAAAAUAUGAACAGAUUGAAAGAUUUAUGUAGGAUGGAAAUUUCAAGCACAAAUUUCAAGAAAAAUCCCAAGCGCAAAUUGAGAUUUACAG